GCGCGAAAACUUUACAAUGCGGGCAACCGUGAUAAGGGAACCUCGAGUGCCUGUAUAUGCAGGCUGUCUGGGUGUCUAAAACACACCUAAAGAAAGGGCCGGGCAAGACCGGUGCCAGCCGCCGCGGUAAUACCGGCGGCUCGAGUGGUGGCCACUUUUAUUGGGCUUAAAGCGUUCGUAGCUGGGUUAUUAAGUCCCUUGGGAAAUCCGACGGCUUAACCGUCGGGCGUCUAAGGGAUACUGGCAAUCUUGGAACCGGGAGAGGUGAGGGGUACUUCGGGGGUAGGAGUGAAAUCCUGUAAUCCUCGAGGGACCACCUGUGGCGAAGGCGCCUCACCAGAACGGCUUCGACAGUGAGGGACAAAAGCUGGGGGAGCAAACCGGAUUAGAUACCCGGGUAGUCCCAGCCGUAAACGAUGUGCGUUAGGUGUAUCGGUGACCACGAGUCACCGAGGUGCCGAAGGGAAACCGUGAAACGUACCGCCUGGGAAGUACGGUCGCAAGGCUGAAACUUAAAGGAAUAGGCGGGGGAGCACCACAACAGGUGGAGCCUGCGGUUUAAUUGGACUCAACGCCGGAAAUCUCACCGGAUAAGACAGCUGAAUGAUUGUCGGGCUGAAGACUCUACAUGACUAGCU
rnacentral:rRNA from 1 species